rnacentral:rRNA from 1 species
GAUGAACGCUGGCGGCGUGCUUAACACAUGCAAGUCGAACGGGAAUUGUUUUAUUGAAACUUCGGUAGAUUUAAUUUAAUUCUAGUGGCGGACGGGUGAGUAACGCGUGGGUAACCUGCCUUAUACAGGGGGAUAACAGUCCGAAAUGGCUGCUAAUACCGCAUAAGCGCACAGAGCUGCCUGGCUCAGUGCGAACAAUUCCGGCGGUAUAAGAUGGACCCGCGUUGGAUUAGCUGGUUGGGGGGGUAACGGCCCACCAAGGCGACGAUCCAUAGCCGACCUGAGAGGGUGAACGGCAACACUGAGACUGAGACACAGCCCGGACUCCUACGGGCAGAAGCAAGGGGGAAUAUUGGACAAUGGGGGAGACCCUGAUGGAGCGACGCGGCGUGAAGGAAGAAGUAGCGCGGUAUGUAAACGUCUAUCAACAGGGAAGAUAGUGACGGGACCUGACUAAGGAGCCCCGGCUAACUACGUG